GGCCAGCACUCAUAAACCCAGGCUGCCUGGUCCAGCGAGCACUACCACCAUGGUGGCUGGAGCCCCAGAGAGAUAGCAGUGGCGGUGGCACACAGACAUGAUGCCUGUCCUGACCAGGAUGAGAAGCCCAAGCAGCUGUGAGGGGUGGGAAGGGCAGCAGAAAGGAAGCACCGCUCAGAUGUGCCUAGGGGAGGGGGAGCCGGCCCAAAGCUGCCUGCUCUUGGCGCCUCCCGGGGUGGCAGCGAUGGCAAGGGUCUCUGUACAGUAUUUAUGUUUGGUCUACUUUCUGUUUUCUAUUCUGAAAGGCCUCAAGGUGUCUAUUUGUAGGAGUGGCGGCAAGUGACUGAGUGGACAUACUUGAGAGUCACAGCUGUGGGGGUGAAUAGAAAAAAUCCCUGGCCCUGGGGUGGAUGAGGAAUCUCACCAUCGGUUUUAGAUCAAAAGCAGUCUUUUAUCCUCUGUGCCUGGCUGGACUGCCUCUACUCAUAAUGCCAUGAGACCACAGGAACUAGGGACAGUGCCUAGUUGGAUCAACUAACCAGAUGCUUCUGAGGACUACCCCAUUGCCCAGCCUUUGACUGGCAUUUCAGCCUUCCUAGCUUCUGAUGCCAAUGGUCCUAUUGUCAAUAUGAAACAAUUUCAGAAGAAGAGACCCUCAGCCCAAAAUCCCAUCUUGCAGGCUGAAAUGUUAAGACAAAAGGGGCUCCCUGACAGUAGCUAUUAUCUUGGGAACCUGAUUAGCUGGAGUAGGAACUAGUAUUGCUUCCUGGAGAGAUACUAGAGAGAAAAGAUUCCAGAAGAUGGUUUAAAUCCUGGUAUAAUAGUACAAUAUAGGGCUUACUACCUUUAUAUCCACCCUGAAGGGAUCCCUACUCAUUUUGAUUUUUAGCUUUGGUCCUUGUAUUUUAAAUCGCUUGAUGGCUUUCAUGAAUAAAUACUUGAAAGCAAUAUAGCUAAUGGUACUCAGAUUAUAGAAAGGUAAAUUUGAAGGACUGACUUCAGGGGUCAUAUCUGGAAGACCCAAGAUUGGGUCUUUAAAUGAUCAUGGGAAAGGGGGAAUGAGGACCAAAGACUUAAAAAUCAGUGGAUAUUGUUUUAAAGCUUAAAGCCUGAAGGAAGGCUAGCUAGGUGGAGACUUGUCUAGUAAUGCCCUGAGGGGAAGAACUGGUCUUACUGCAUUCUUUCCCCACCCUUUAAUUAUACAGUUGCUAGGAAACCAGCCCAUAUGACCAGGCCAGAUCGGUUUGUGGUCUUGAUGCCUAAAGUGGAACAAUCAUUUUAAAAGUCAAUUUCCUUUACCCAAUCAUGUAAUGCCAAAGCAAGUAAGUCACUGCUUGCAUUUUUUUCCCCUUAAAAAACUUUGUACCCCUAGACCUCAGGGCUGCAAUUCCUCUCCUGUUUCCACAGGAGGUUUGUGUCCUGUGUUUGAAUGAGGAUACAAUUAAAAAACCUCAUAU